CUCCAGCAGCUUUAUCUUCUGCUAUUUCUUUUUCAACCCUACUUCGAAGGUGCUUUCAGGAAUGUGCAAGGUCAGGAGUCCAGUUCGGCAGCGGCUCCCUCCCACCUUUAAAACCACUGUCUGGGAGGAGAGCUGCAGAAGGGUCCAGAAAAGAAGGAACAAGCGAAGGGGAGGACGCGGAAGAAGGGCGCAGGAGGUGGGGCAAGAAAGGGAGGCGAGCCCAGGAGGCCGAGAGGGUUUACAGGCUCCUGAUAGAGUGACUUCACCUUCAAGCAGCAGCACUGUGAGGGCUGUCUAGCCUUUGUAGCCAAUCUCGGUAACAGUUGGGCAAAUUAGAAGUCAUUGUGUAAGGAAAGUGAGCACGAAGAACAAAGGCUGUUGGAUUCUUCGCUACUUAACGAGAGAUCUUGUUUAGCUCCAGCCGUUAGGAAAACUCAUCACUUCCUAUAUUUGCUGGUGACAAUCAAAUGCAAGAAACCACAGCUUUAAAGAAAAAAAGUCUAAAUAAAUACUUUAGAGGAGAUGCGGAUCCUUUUACAUUUCCUCAGAUGAAAAUAUUGCAAAGUUGGUGAGAGGAUAUUUAUUUCAUUCAGGAAAUCCCAGUCAAAUCUUUCCUUUUAUUCAAAAAAUUGGAAUUUAAAUGAAAAACAUGCCUUCAUGUCACAGCGAUGUCCUACGUGGCCUACAUUUCAAAAUUAAUAGAUGAUAGACAUAAUUUUUUCUAUCUUGUUAAAAAACUAUGAUCAAAUCGUAAGUUUGUUUCUCUUCAAAUGUUGUGAUGUGGCAGGAAAAGAGGAGAAGAUUUGGUCAGGGAUUAAGGCUGAAAGAUUGAUGAAGUCCAGAUAGUUGCAACAUGAGACGGGAAGAGAGACAAGGUGACUGCGGAAAAAACCAUCUCGAGUUUCUGCAGGAAAAUGAUGAAGAGUGGAAGGAAGCCUAAUCUGCCUCAGAAAUGCAAAGGCAUCUCAAGUCUCCGCUAACUACAUUCCUGGGAUGAGAUGCAGAAGUAUCACAGCUCUCACUUCACCCCCCACCACAAACACUUGCACGACUGCUGCGGAAAUUUAAAGCUCUACGCGUAAGGACGUCAAUAUUUCAAUUUAGAAUUUUACACCUGAUUAAAGACACAGCCUCCCCUCCCUUUCAGUUUGUUCCAUGUACUGGUGGGUUUUGGUAAAUAUUUCUAUCUUCUGCAUAGGGUUAUGAAUAACUUAGAGGUCAGGGAAACCCUCUCCCCCCUUUUCCCACUUUUAAUUGUAUCUCCGGCAAGACUUACUUAUUGUGAGAGCUUAAUAAAUACCCUUAAUUAAAAUUUAAGAAAUGAAAUGUAUCCAGUUUACAAGGUGUUUGUUUACUGUACAAAAAUUAUAAACACAGGUUCACAACCAGUAGAAUGAUACUGAUCAUAGGGCCGACUAGGCAAAAGCAUACCUAGACAACUGAAAAACAUGUAAUGAAAUUUCAGAAAAAUAAAUACUACUUUUAAAAGAAAAA